rnacentral:rRNA from 1 species
CCUACGGGAGGCAGCAGUGAGGAAUAUUGGUCAAUGGGCGGAAGCCUGAACCAGCCAAGCAGCGUGCGGGAUGAAGGCCCUACGGGUCGUAAACCGCUUUUGCACGGGGAUAACACCCUCCACUUGUGGAGGUCUGCAGGUACCGUGCGAAUAAGGGCCGGCUAAUUCCGUGCCAGCAGCCGCGUUAAUACGGAGGGCCCGAGCGUUAUCCGGAUUUAUUGGGGUUAAAGGGUGCGAGGGGGGUCGUUCAAGUCAGCGGUAAAAUCGCGCGGCCCAACCGCGGCCCGAGGUUGAAACUGGGCGCCUUGAGUUCAGGACAGGCAGGCGGAAUUCGUGGUGGAGCGGUGAAAUGCAUAGAUAUCACGAGGAACCCCGAUUGCGAAGGCAGCCUGCCGGGGUGCGACUGACGCUGAGGCUCGAAGGUGCGGGUAUCAAACAGGAUUAGAUACCCGUGUAGUC